rnacentral:rRNA from 1 species
CCUACGGGAGGCAGCAGUGGGGAAUAUUGCACAAUGGGCGCAAGCCUGAUGCAGCGACGCCGCGUGGGGGAUGACGGCCUUCGGGUUGUAAACCUCUUUCGGUAGGGACGAAGCCUUUUUGGUGACGGUACCUGUAGAAGAAGCACCGGCUAACUACGUGCCAGCAGCCGCGGUAAUACGUAGGGUGCGAGCGUUGUCCGGAAUUACUGGGCGUAAAGAGCUCGUAGGUGGUUUGUUGCGUCGUCUGUGAAAUACCGGGGCUUAACUUCGGAGCUGCAGGCGAUACGGGCAUAACUGGAGUGCUGUAGGGGAGACUGGAAUUCCUGGUGUAGCGGUGGAAUGCGCAGAUAUCAGGAGGAACACCGAUGGCGAAGGCAGGUCUCUGGGCAGUAACUGACGCUGAGGAGCGAAAGCAUGGGGAGCGAACAGGAUUAGAUA